GCCUGGGUGGCUCAGUUGGUUAAGCGUCCGACUUCAGCUCAGGUCACGAUCUCGCGGUACGCGAGUUCAAGCCCCGCGUCAGGCU
rnacentral:tRNA from 1 species